AGCACGAAGGUCUCCGUGCUCCUAUGCUGUUUUCGAUGAUGGAGCUUUCGAAUCGACGAUCGACUCCGUUAGACUUGAUCAAGCAUAUUUGAAGUAUCUAGAAAAUAAAUUUUGCGACUUUUUAAUAUCAUUUACCUAACGAUCGAAAGGGUUCAAAAUCAACGACUGAAAAUAAAAAUUUCACAAGAAGUGGUGAUGUAGCAUUAAAAUUUUCGAUCAAACAUAUUGAUCUUGCUGUAAAUAGUAUAAAGAAUUUUU
rnacentral:lncRNA from 1 species